ensembl:snoRNA
ACCCUUCAAAUUACUUACCCAUUAGAUCUAACCACUGGUCUGAGUGGUUAUAAAAGGAGGAGAAGUGAAAUUGAGGCUGACUGCACCUAUUUUAACCCAUGAGCUAAUUUCAAACAGAA